rnacentral:rRNA from 1 species
UACGUAGGGGGCUAGCGUUGUCCGGAAUCAUUGGGUGUAAAGCGCGUGUAGGCGGUCCGGUAAGUCCGCUGUGAAAGUCGGGGGCUCAACCCUCGGAUGCCGGUGGAUACUGUCGGGCUAGAGUCCGGAAGAGGCGAGUGGAAUUCCCGGUGUAGCGGUGAAAUGCGCAGAUAUCAGGAGGAACACCUAUGGCGAAGGCAGCUCGCUGGGACGGUACUGACGCUGAGACGCGAAAGCGUGGGGAGCAAACAGG